rnacentral:lncRNA from 1 species
UGGGGGGAAUCUCCAUAAACGAAGGCUUGCUGGUGCCAAAGCGACUCUUUUUGGAGCCACACCGUGGCCUUUCGAUGAUGGUGUUCUUUUCUUUGAUACUUCUACUGAGACUGACAUGCUGUUACCGGGUUCAGAUUAUCAAAAUGAUAUGUCUAUGGUUGUUAGUGACAGUUCUGGGAACGACGAUGAAGUAACUUCGAGGUUUAUAGUGAAUCCGACCAGUAUGCAUGAUGCUCCCGGUCUUGGUAGGAAUUGCAGUGCGCAAAAGGGUAGUGGUAAUGGUUCUAAUCUCGAUGGUUCCCCAGAUGCUCAACGUGGAUUAAUUGUAAA